rnacentral:lncRNA from 1 species
AGCGGUCUCAAUAACCCUAGCUUGCUACCGUUUGGUUCGGGGUUAAGGAAAAACUAAUUAUUUUAGGGAUAUGGUUAAGUUUAGGGUUAAGGUGGGGUUAAAGUAUUUUUGUGUUUGGUUGGAGGUUAGAUUUAAACCAGGAUAGUGAAAAAUAGUGUUUGGUUGGAGUAGGUGGGAUAAGAAGGAUAAUGGGUUAUUAUGAAUAGAAAAUAGUGUUUGGUUGGAAUUUGAUGGGGUUAGGUGGGAUUAGCUAAUCUGGGAUAAUCCAUUUGAGUUGGGGUUAGCUGGGAUUAGCUAACCCCACCAUUUUUAGAAGUGUUUGGGAUAAAAUGGGGGUUAAGCCCUUGACCCC